rnacentral:tRNA from 1 species
GCGCGUGUAACUCAGUGGUAGAGUACCCGACUUUUAAUCGGGCUGCCGUGGGUUCGAGUCCCACCACGCGCA